CCUACGGGAGGCAGCAGUGGGGAAUAUUGCACAAUGGGGGAAACCCUGAUGUAGCGACGCCGCGUGAGUGAAGAAGUCCUUCGUUAUGUAAAGCUCUAUCGGCAGGGAAGAAAAUGACGGUACCUGAGUACGCAGCCCCGGCUAACUCCUGUCCAACCGCCGCGGUCUUACGUAGUGGGCACGCGUGAUCCGGAUUGACUGGGGGUAACGGGAGCGUAGACGGCAGUGUAAGUCAGGAGUGAAAGGCGGGGGCGCAACCCCAGGACUGCUAUGGAAACUUUAAGGCUGGAGUGCAGGAGAGGUAAGUAGAAUUCCUAGUGUAGCGGUGAAAUGCGUAGAUAUUAGGAGGAACACCAGUGGCGAAGGCGGCGUACUGGAUGGUAACUGACGCUGAGGUGCGAAAGCGUGGGGAGCAAACAGGAUUAGAUACCCGAGUAGUC
rnacentral:rRNA from 1 species